GACGAACCGUGCGAACGUUGUUCGGAAUCACUGGGCUUAAAGGGCGCGUAGGCGGCUGCGCAAGUCCGGGGUGAAAGCCCCCAGCUCAACUGGGGAAGUGCCCCGGAUACUGCGUAGCUUGAGGGAGGUAGGGGCGGAUGGAACUUCCGGUGGAGCGGUGAAAUGCGUUGAUAUCGGAAGGAACGCCGGUGGCGAAAGCGAUCCGCUGGCCCUCUACUGACGCUGAGGCGCGAAAGCGUGGGGAGCAAACAGG
rnacentral:rRNA from 1 species